rnacentral:rRNA from 1 species
GAUGAACGCUGGCGGCGUGCCUAAUACAUGCAAGUCGAGCGAACGGACGAGAAGCUUGCUUCUCUGAUGUUAGCGGCGGACGGGUGAGUAACACGUGGAUAACCUACCUAUAAGACUGGGAUAACUUCGGGAAACCGGAGCUAAUACCGGAUAAUAUUUUGAACCGCAUGGUUCAAAAGUGAAAGACGGUCUUGCUGUCACUUAUAGAUGGAUCCGCGCUGCAUUAGCUAAUUGGUAAGGUAACGGCUUACCAAGGCAACGAUGCAUAGCCGACCUGAGAGGGUGAUCGGCCACACUGGAAGUGAGACACGGUCCAGACUCCUACGGGAGGCAGCAGUAGGGAAUCUUCCGAAAUGGGCGAAAGACUGACGGAGCAACGCCGCGUGAGUGAUGAAGGUCUUCGGAUCGUAAAACUCUGUUAUUAGGGAAGAACAAAUGUGUAAGUAACUGUGCACAUCUUGACGGUACCUAAUCAGAAAGACACGGCUAACUACGUG